GAGAUGAAGCUAUGAGAACUAAAAUGCAGAGGGAUUUGAAAGACCAGUAAGAAGGACAAAAAUACCUCAGUCACAGAGUUUAGAGACUUAUCUGGAAAGGAAUGGAAGAUGUGUGCAUAAGAGAAGAUGGAUUGAGUUAUUGUAUGUAAAAGGUCACAUUUAGGUUCCUCUAGGCUCAAGUACAGGUUUCUGUUACACAUGGAUUACCGGCAUGACAACAAGGCUCAUUAUUUUCAGAAGCUUGUGACUAUGUGGGAGAAUUUAUAUGUACUUCUGUGUGAUGAAGAAUUGGAUGCAGUCUCUUUGGAAGCUGUGCACCAACAAAAGAUGAAGAAUAGACAAGCCCACUCUUCAUCAGAGAGAGAACUAAAAUAAUGAAGACCAGAACUAGACAAGUUAUCAAGACGUACUAAUUCCUUAGUUGAUAAAGAACCUGCAUGAGACAGUGAUACAUCAGAGAGAGAAAAACUUUAAGCACUGAGAGGGGACAAACUGAUGGAUUCCAUGGUAAAGUUUCCUGACACAAUUCACCUCCAGAAACGUUAAUGUUACUUAGUAGAAAAAAAUAAAAAUCUCCAUGUUUAAAAAUAAAGAUUCAACUUAAACGACCCUAUUAAUCAUGAAGAAAAUUGUCUUUAAAAUGGAAGUGUAUUAACCUCUGUGAGGUCCAGAGAAUACCUGGGGCCCAUAUAACAUAAGUCAGAAUUUUUUAACAUUAUAAACCAAGAUUAGUUAUUAAAAAUAUGUUUUAUCUUUUUACCCUGACAAAUAUGUCAGUAGAAGUCUUGAAACUGAGCACAAGUGUAGACAGAUCGCCACUCAGAAAUGGUGAUGCAAGGACCGCUGGUUUGCACCUCCU
rnacentral:lncRNA from 1 species